ACGGAGGGUGCAAGCGUUAUCCGGAUUCACUGGGUUUAAAGGGUGCGUAGGCGGACAGGUAAGUCAGUGGUGAAAUCUCCGAGCUUAACUCGGAAACUGCCGUUGAUACUAUUUGUCUUGAAUAUUGUGGAGGUAAGCGGAAUAUGUCAUGUAGCGGUGAAAUGCUUAGAUAUGACAUAGAACACCAAUUGCGUAGGCAGCUUACUACACGAUCAUUGACGCUGAGGCACGAAAGCGUGGGGAGCAAACAGGA
rnacentral:rRNA from 1 species